AAAUUGAAGAGUUUGAUCAUGGCUCAGAUUGAACGCUGGCGGCAGGCCUAACACAUGCAAGUCGAACGGUAACAGGAAGCAGCUUGCUGCUUCGCUGACGAGUGGCGGACGGGUGAGUAAUGUCUGGGAAACUGCCUGAUGGAGGGGGAUAACUACUGGAAACGGUAGCUAAUACCGCAUAACGUCGCAAGACCAAAGAGGGGGACCUUCGGGCCUCUUGCCAUCGGAUGUGCCCAGAUGGGAUUAGCUUGUUGGUGGGGUAACGGCUCACCAAGGCGACGAUCUCUAGCUGGUCUGAGAGGAUGACCAGCCACACUGGAACUGAGACACGGUCCAGACUCCUACGGGAGGCAGCAGUGGGGAAUAUUGCACAAUGGGCGCAAGCCUGAUGCAGCCAUGCCGCGUGUAUGAAGAAGGCCUUCGGGUUGUAAAGUACUUUCAGCGGGGAGGAAG
rnacentral:rRNA from 1 species